AGAGUUUGAUCAUGGCUCAGAAUCAACGCUGGCGGCGUGCCUAACACAUGCAAGUCGAACGCGAAAGUCCCGCAAGGGAUCAGUAGAGUGGCAAACGGGUGAGUAACGCGUGGGUGACCUGCCUUCGAGCGGGGGAUAACGUUCCGAAAGGGACGCUAAUACCGCAUAACAUCCUGUCUUUUAAGAGGUGGAGAUCAAAGCCUGGGACCGCAAGGCCAGGCACUCGAAGAGGGGCCCGCGUCCGAUUAGCUAGUUGGUGGGGUAAUGGCUCACCAAGGCUCCGAUCGGUAUCCGGCCUGAGAGGGCGGACGGACACACUGGGACUGAGACACGGCCCAGACUCCUACGGGAGGCAGCAGUGGGGAAUUGUUCGCAAUGGGCGCAAGCCUGACGACGCAACGCCGCGUGGAGGAUGAAGAUCUUCGGGUCGUAAACUCCUUUCGAUCGAGACGAACGGCCUCUGGGUUAACAGCCUAGAGGAGUGACGGUACCGAGAGAAGAAGCCCCGGCUAACUCCGUGCCAGCAGCCGCGGUAAUAC
rnacentral:rRNA from 1 species